UACGGAGGGUGCAAGCGUUAAUCGGAAUUACUGGGCGUAAAGCGUGCGCAGGCGGUUUGUUAAGUCCGUUGUGAAAGCCCCGAGCUCAACUUGGGAAUUGCAGUGGAUACUGGCAAGCUGGAGUAUGGUAGAGGAAGGUGGAAUUCCCGGUGUAGCAGUGAAAUGCGUAGAGAUCGGGAGGAACACCAGUGGCGAAGGCGGCCUUCUGGACCAAUACUGACGCUCAUGCACGAAAGCGUGGGGAGCAAACAGG
rnacentral:rRNA from 1 species